rnacentral:lncRNA from 1 species
CUCGCGAUACAUCAAGAUCGUGCCAUCUCAAGAACACGAGAGAGAGAGAGAGAUUGAACAUAUAACUACUAGUACAUACCCUCAGCCCCGAGGAGGAUUACUCACACAUUAUCAUGGUGAGAAAAGAGAGAUUUGUUGAUGGAGAGAUGCAACCCCUAAGGGAUGGAGGCAUGGCGGCCACGGCAUCGGCGACGGGCGGUGGCCCCUUGCCCCUUGUU